UGCAAUGUCUGCAGAUAUGCAAGUUAAAUCCUCUAAAUAUCAACAGCACACGCAGUCCAAACUUCCUUCUGGUCAUCUUGUGAAGAUCCCCCCAGGGUGCCUCUCAAGGGCCUCAAGUGAUGAUGCCACUAAGGAAAGUGAAGAGAAACAGUUUUGAGAACUUCUACAUGAAUUUGGGGGUUUUGAAACAUUCAGUCUCCAUCUCUGAGAUGCCCUGAGAACUACAUCUACAUGGAAGCCUGAAUGCUCCCAGGAACUGGUCAGUUCAGCAAAAAGACGGUAAAUUAUCAGCUUGUGACACUUAUUUCCCACCUGGACUGACGAUAAAUUCAAAAUUCCAAGAGUGCUUCAAAUGGGUAAAAUGAAAUAAAGGUACCAGGGAUUAAACUACUUUGCAGACGACAAUGAGGCACAUGUGGAGGGCUGCUCACUCAACUGCCCACAGAAGACCUUUCAGGCAUGAAUCCAUCGCCAAGCCUCAGAGAGAAGAUUCUGCCUAAAGCACUUAGCCUCCUGUUAGGGGUCGGGGGCACACAGUGCUAGAAAGGACGUGUGUGUGUGUGUGUGGUAAGCAAAGUAAAAAUAGACCUCAGGUAUGUAUAACUUAAAAAUGACAUACAUAAUAUCACAAUCCAAGACUGGACU